rnacentral:lncRNA from 1 species
GCAAAAGAGGUAGCAUGCUUCAUGGUUUGGUAAAAAACAUAGGACCCAAAGUCAAACUUGGUUUUGGUUCCUACAAUGUAAAUAAACUUACUCAACCCUGUAGCAAUGUUGGAAGUGUGAUUUGUUGGGACCCAAUUAGCAGCUUCAAUUAUAUGAAGUACUGCAUACUUCACACUCAAGAAACUCGCUGAAAACUUCCCUUUUCUUGGUCAUUCCCUUACCUGUUUUGCAGUAAUUUCCCUACAAAUGACAUUAUCAGAAACCUCCACUUCAG